CUACGUGCCAGCAGCCGCGGUAAUACGGAAGGUCCGGGCGUUAUCCGGAUUUAUUGGGUUUAAAGGGAGCGUAGGCUGGAGAUUAAGUGUGUUGUGAAAUGUAGACGCUCAACGUCUGACUUGCAGCGCAUACUGGUUUCCUUGAGUACGCACAACGUUGGCGGAAUUCGUCGUGUAGCGGUGAAAUGCUUAGAUAUGACGAAGAACUCCGAUUGCGAAGGCAGCUGACGGGAGCGCAACUGACGCUGAAGCUCGAAGGUGCGGGUAUCGAACAGGAUUAGAUACCCUGGUAGUCCGCACAGUAAACGAUGGAUGCCCGCUGUUGGUACGUGGUAUCAGCGGCUAAGCGAAAGCAUUAAGCAUCCCACCUGGGGAGUACGCCGGCAACGGUGAAACUCAAAGGAAUUGACGGGGGCCCGCACAAGCGGAGGAACAUGUGGUUUAAUUCGAUGAUACGCGAGGAACCUUACCCGGGCUUGAAUUGCAGAGGAAGUAUUUAGAGAUA
rnacentral:rRNA from 1 species